rnacentral:rRNA from 1 species
UACGGAGGGGGCUAGCGUUGUUCGGAAUUACUGGGCGUAAAGCGCACGUAGGCGGCUAUUCAAGUCAGAGGUGAAAGCCUGGGGCUUAACUCCAGAACUGCCUUUGAAACUAGAUAGCUAGAAUCAUGGAGAGGUGAGUGGAAUUCCGAGUGUAGAGGUGAAAUUCGUAGAUAUUCGGAAGAACACCAGUGGCGAAGGCGGCUCACUGGACAUGUAUUGACGCUGAGGUGCGAAAGCGUGGGGAGCAAACAGG